rnacentral:ncRNA from 2 species
CACUGCCUGUUUCUCCUACAAAUCGAGUGAUCUAGUGAACUGUUCAAAUAUUGUGACAUGCGCGAUUCGCUACCCACGACGUCGCAAGAAGUCCAUUGAACCUUAUCAUUUAGAGGAAUCAGAAGCGUAACAAGGUUUACGUAGGUGAACAUGCAGAAG